UGCAGUCGAACGGAAAGGCCCUGCUUUUGUGGGUGCUCGAGUGGCGAACGGGUGAGUAACACGUGAGUAACCUGCCCUUGACUUUGGGAUAACUUCAGGAAACUGGGGCUAAUACCGGAUAGGAGCUCCUGCUGCAUGGUGGGGGUUGGAAAGUUUCGGCGGUUGGGGAUGGACUCGCGGCUUAUCAGCUUGUUGGUGGGGUAGUGGCUUACCAAGGCUUUGACGGGUAGCCGGCCUGAGAGGGUGACCGGCCACAUUGGGACUGAGAUACGGCCCAGACUCCUACGGGAGGCAGCAGUGGGGAAUAUUGCACAAUGGGCGGAAGCCUGAUGCAGCAACGCCGCGUGCGGGAUGACGGCCUUCGGGUUGUAAACCGCUUUCGCCUGUGACGAAGCGUGAGUGACGGUAAUGGGUAAAGAAGCACCGGCUAACUACGUGCCAGCAGCCGCGGUGAUACGUGGGGUGCGAGCGUUGUCCGGAUUUAUUGGGCGUAAAGGGCUCGUAGGUGGUUGAUCGCGUCGGAAGUGUAAUCUUGGGGCUUAACCCUGAGCGUGCUUUCGAUACGGGUUGACUUGAGGAAGGUAGGGGAGAAUGGAAUUCCUGGUGGAGCGGUGGAAUGCGCAGAUAUCAGGAGGAACACCAGUGGCGAAGGCGGUUCUCUGGGCCUUUCCUGACGCUGAGGAGCGAAAGCGUGGGGAGCGAACAGGCUUAGAUACCCUGGUAGUCCACGCUGUAAACGGUGGGUACUAGGUGUGGGGUCCAUUCCACGGGUUCCGUGCCGUAGCUAACGCUUUAAGUACCCCGCCUGGGGAGUACGGCCGCAAGGCUAAAACUCAAAGGAAUUGACGGGGCCCCCGCACAAGCGGCGGAGCAUGCGGAUUAAUUCGAUGCAACGCGUAGAACCUUACCUGGNNUUGACAUGGAUCGGGANUGCUCA
rnacentral:rRNA from 1 species